rnacentral:rRNA from 1 species
UGGGGAAUAUUGCACAAUGGGGGAAACCCUGAUGCAGCGACGCCGCGCGAGUGAAGAAGUAUUUCGGUAUGUAAAGCUCUAUCAGCAGGGAAGAUAAUGACAGUACCUGACUAAGAAGCCCCGGCUAACUACGUGCCAGCAGCCGCGGUAAUACGUAGGGGGCAAGCGUUAUCCGGAUUUACUGGGUGUAAAGGGAGCGUAGACGGAAUGGCAAGUCUGAAGUGAAAUACCCGGGCUCAACCUGGGAACUGCUUUGGAAACUGUUGUUCUAGAGUGUUGGAGAGGUAAGUGGAAUUCCUGGUGUAGCGGUGAAAUGCGUAGAUAUCAGGAAGAACACCGGAGGCGAAGGCGGCUUACUGGACAAUAACUGACGUUGAGGCUCGAAAGCGUGGGGAUCAAACAGGAUUAGAUACCCUGGUAGUCCACGCUGUAAACGAUGAAUACUAGGUGUCGGGGUGCAAAGCAUCUCGGUGCCGUCGCUAACGCAAUAAGUAUUCCACCUGGGGAGUAAAGNGNGGCAAGAAUG